rnacentral:rRNA from 1 species
CUACGGGACGCAGCAGUGGGGAAUAUUGCACAAUGGAGGAAACUCUGAUGCAGCAACGCCGCGUGGAGGAUGACACUUUUCGGAGCGUAAACUCCUUUUAUAUAGGAAGAUAAUGACGGUACUAUAUGAAUAAGCACCGGCUAACUCCGUGCCAGCAGCCGCGGUAAUACGGAGGGUGCAAGCGUUACUCGGAAUCACUGGGCGUAAAGAGCGUGUAGGCGGGUUAAUAAGUCAGAAGUGAAAUCCUAUGGCUCAACCAUAGAACUGCUUUUGAAACUGUUAACCUAGAGUGUGGGAGAGGUAGAUGGAAUUUCUGGUGUAGGGGUAAAAUCCGUAGAGAUCAGAAGGAAUACCGAUUGCGAAGGCGAUCUACUGGAACAUAACUGACGCUGAGACGCGAAAGCGUGGGGAGCAAACAGGAUUAGAUACCCUAGUAGUC